rnacentral:lncRNA from 1 species
CUUGGGAUGUCCUAUAUACACUGGCAAGAAGAAGAUUAGUUUAUUUACUAACUUGGCUACUAAAAUGAUCAAUAAUGUUGGAGGCCGGUAGAGUAAUUUUCUCAGUGCUCGAGGAAAGACUCUAAUCAUCAAGCACAUCCUUCAAUCUCAAACACUCCAUCUGGUUGCAGCUAUGGAACCUCCAAACACUGCACUUCAACAGAUCAAAAAACACUACUCAAACUUAUUUUGAUGUGAAGAGGUGGUGAAGGUUGAGAACAAUGGAAAAUCUUUGGUCUAAGUUCAUCAAAGCUAAUUACUGUCCUAAGACCAAUAUGAUAUGAAAGUUAUCACUUCUAAGAACUCCAACAUUUGGAUGAAUUUUGCUGCAAAUUAGACCACAAGUGGAGCAGAUUAUCAAAUGUGAAAUUAAUGAAGGCCAGAUUCUUUUCUGGUGGGACAACCGGAUUAAUGAACGCUCUCUAGCUCACAUAGUUCACCCCACGACUAAACCAGGGAGUGGCAUCAUAAGGGGUUUCAUAAUCAAUAAUCAGUGAGACCCAGAAGCUCUCAGGGAUCUACUCCUUGCUAAUAUUGUUCAUGAGAUCACUCUGAUAAACAUCAGAGAUAGUGAUAGAAAAGACAUUUGCAUAUGGUCCCAUAGUGCUAAUGAAAAUUUUAACUGUUCAUCUACUUGGGAAUGUGUAUACGGCCAGAAUUGGGGAGUUUGACUUUGGGGCUACUAUGCCGCUCCACGCCUAACCUCGAAGAAGCCCAAAGCAGAGCGUGAGGUGCGACCCAGAGGUGUUCUCCUCGAGGGAACAUAUCAGAGGCUCAUUAUGGUGGACCUCGGAGCAGUACAAUCGACGAUCGUAAUGGAAAGGCGGGAAAUUCCUAAAUACACGUGGUUAGAGCUGACCAGGUCUGCAAGAAUCGUACAAAUCCGUACUGAACCGUUAUACAACUGUACUAGUAGCAUUUCUUCAUCAUUUAUUAGAUAUGUACUAUGUUGGGAUUUAUCCCUCCUAUAUAAAGGGGACCAUUGUCAUCUUAUAAAAGAUUUGGAUUAUUACACAACAUAUUAAAUACAAUACAACAUUCUCUGCUCUUUGAUUAAAUAGUUGUUCUACUCACUUAUUGCUUAUUCUUUCAUUUUUCAUUUAUUGCUCAUUAUUAACCACAAAAGGCCAUCUUCGAGGCCAUCAUUAUCAUUGAUUCUUCAUCAAUUGUUCAUCGCUAUUAACCCCGUCUAGACCUCGAGGCCCUGCUUUAGCCAGCUCGAGUCCUAGCCUUGUGACCCCGUUGGUUUGCAUUUCUUACUUUCUUUACUUACACUUAGCAUCUAUUGCCCUAUAACUAGUAUUAAAAUAAAUCACAUAUUUUUAGAACCGCAAAAUUAAAUUAAAUUGUAGUUACAAUUUUCAAGGUAAACAGUUUGGUGCCCACCGUGGGGCUAAGAAUAAUAGUAAUUGUUUUCUAAAAACAUGAGUUACUCUUCACACUUUUUCUUGUCUAAGAAUCUCUUAUUUCAGGUAAAAAAAAUGUCUAACUUAGAAAAUACACGUGAAAACAAUGGUAUUGAGCUUCAGGGAGAGAACGGUGCAGACGCUGGUUUACCACUGCAAAACCCAGGGGUAGCACUAGCAGAUGUCGGUUUACCACCGCAAAACCCUGGGGAGGCACCAGCACAAAUCCCCAUUGAUGUGAGCUCGCAGAACGCUGUGCAUGUUUAUGUAUGCUCUCCUACCGACGGAAGUGUGCAUGGUGAGGAAAGAGACGUUAGUAUUCAAAUAAUUUUUGAAAUGUUGAAACACAACAAGUGGGUAUAGCUCAUAUACAAAGUUACCAAAAAAACCCAAACACAGUAGCACCGGAAACGGCUCCUCGAGUCGAGCAGGUAUCGGAGAGAUCGAGCAACAACGGGUCGGAAACAUACCCCGCUAUUAUGAAGAUACUCGAGGAUCUCACCAAAAGAAUUGAAUCAGGAUAAAAUAAGAUAGAAGAUAAAGAUAAAAGGUUGGAGACUUAUAACUCGAGGGUCAAUUAGAUCCCGGGCGUGCCCCCGAUUCUGAAAGGUGUAGAUUCAAAGAAGUUCAUACAGAAACCAUUCCCACCGAGUGUAGCUCCAAAGCCCAUCCCAAAGAAAUUCAGAAUGUGCGACGCCUCUAUGUAUAACGGGACCAUGGAUCCCAAUAAGCAUAUCACCGCUUAUACUUGUAUUGUAAAAGGAAAUGACUUGAAGGAUGACGAGAUAAAGUCUGUGUUGUUGAAGAAAUUUGGAGAAAUGCUAUCAAAAGGGGCUAUGAUGUGGUUUCAUAACUUGCCCUCAAAUUCAAUCAACUCAUUUGCCAUGUUGGUGGAUUCUUUUGUGAGUACGCACGCUGGUGCCAUCAAAGUCUCCACCAGGAAGUCCGAUGUCUUCAAAAUCAAAUAGAGAGAGAACGAGAUGCUAAGGGAAUUUGUAUCUUGUUUUCAGGUGGAGAGAAUGGAAUUAACACCAGUCUUCGAUGACCGGCCGGUACAGGCCUUCACUCAAGGCUUUAACGAAAGAAGCUCGGUAGCUUAAAGGUAGUUUAAAACAAAAUUUUAUCAAUUAUCCUGCCGUGACAUGGGCGGAUUUGCACAACAGGUACCAAUCAAAGAUCAGGGUCGAAGACGACCAACUAGGAGCCCCCUCGGGCUCAGUAUAUCCCAGCAGGCUCUUUAUAAAGGAGCAAAGGUUCACAGAAAGGGAGUCAAGAUCAAACAAAGAAAGAUACCAGCCGUAUGUAGAAGAUCGAAGAAACGCAUCAAGGCGUAACAUGCCUCGAGGCGUUCGAAGGAUAGAUCGAGGUCAAAAUUCCUAGGGACUCAUGGGUAAAGUCGGGUUCGAUAGAGGCACCCUGGCUAUCUGAGUACAAUUUCAUCAUCGAUAUCGCGGACAUCGCAUCAGCCAUAGGGAAAAUCAAAGAGGCCAGGUGGCCAAAACAAAUACUAUAAGACCCUUCACAGAGGAACCCUAACUUGAUAUGUAAAUAUCACAGCACUCACGGUCAUAGGACCGACGAUUGUAGGUAGCUUCGAGAAGAGGGAGCCUAACUGAUUAGUGAAGGGCACCUUCGAGAAUUCCACAGCGACUCAGCUAAAAACAAAUUUCGGGAAAGAGAGGCGAACAGGAAAAACAAAUCAGAAGAACCAUAGCACGUCAUCCACAUGAUCGUUGGAGGGGUCGACGCCCUAUGGGAACCCGUUUUCAAACGGACAAAAAUAUCCAUCACUAGUGAAAGGAAAACUCGGAGUUAUAUACCAAUGGAUGCUCUCACAUUCAGUGAAGAGGACAUUCAGACCUUGUGUCAGCCUCAUAAUGACGCACUGGUAAUUUUUUUUUUUAAAAUAAAAUUCAGACUAAAUGUGUGCUCGUAGAUCCAGGUAGCUCAGCCAUAAUAAUUAGGUCGAGGGUGGUGGAGUAGCUCGGACUGCUUGACCUGAUCAUAGCUGCCUCUCGAGUCCUCAAUAGAUUCCACAUAGCGAGUGAGACAACAAAAGGCAAAAUCAUCCUACCAGUCAAUGUAGCCGGUACAAUCCAAGAUACAAAGUUUCAUGUCAUCGAAGGUGACAUGAGAUACAAUACCUUACUUGGAAGGCUGUGGAUACACAGUAUGAGGGCAGUACCCUCGACCCUCCAUCAAACGAUGAAAUUUCCAAUCAAUGAUGGAAUAAAAGUGGUAUACAGGGAACAACACGCAACAAGAGAGAUGUUUGCGGUGCACGAUAUGGCACCGACAUCAACACCCUCCACAUCAAAGAGGCCAAAAAGCAAGUAAAAAUCAGCUAGCAACCUCAACCUUCAUUCUCGACUCUAUCCAAACAAGUGAGUAGAGGACAGUGCUGCAUCCCUAGAACAAGCAAUUGGAAUUUAUCAAAGCUCGAACGCCAUCAUUAAGGUACAACCCUCUCCUUUUUUAUUUGUGUUUUGUAUUAACUUAUUGCAGGUGUUUGAUUGAGAGGAAUCGAAAUGCCUUCCAGCUCGAAGGCUAUGGGUUUUAAAGCAUGCGUUGCGCUUUUUUUCCCUUAGACCAGAUUUUAUCCCGAACGGGUUUUACCAGCGAGGUUUUAACCAGGAAAUAUACAUAUUCAACCUAAGGAGACCUCAUCAAGUAUUCAAGGCUUCUCUUUGAUCAACCUCAAAUACUGAGGGGCAUCACCCUAGGAGGUCACCUCUUUAAAAAACUGAAACUAUGCCUAGGAGGACCUCGAUAGAAGAAUGAUGUAUUGGGCCAUACGGUCGAAUGAAUUGUGUCCAUAUAGAAUAAUUGGGCUUCCAAAAGGCAAAAAAAACAUGUACAAGUACAUAAAAUAAUUGAGGAAGCCUUUUUUACUUAUCAAAACACUCGAAGAAAUUCAAUACUUUCAUGUUAACCGUCUCAAGUGCCAAAAUCCCUUGAACAUUCGGG